CCAGGUGACAUUGAGGGAUCUUCAGGUGACACUGAGGGACAUUGGGUGGCAUUUAUGGACCUUCAGGUGACAUUGAGGGACCUCCAGGUGACAUUGAGGGACAUUGGGUGACAUUGAUGGACCUUCAGGUGACAUUGAAGGACUUUGGGUGACAUUCAUGGACCUCCAGGUGGCAUUGAGGGACCUCCAGGUGGCAUUGAGGGACCUUGGGUGACAUUGAGGGACUUUCAGGUGGCAUUGAAGGACCUUCAGGUGACAUUGAUGGACUUUGGGUGGCACUGAGGAACCUCCUGAGGAACCUCCAGGUGACAUUGAUGGACCUCCAGGUGGCAUUGAAGGACCUUCAGGUGGCAUUGAUGGACCUUCAGGUGACAUUGAGGGACCUUCAGGUGACAUUGAGGGACCUCCAGGUGGCAUUGAGGAACCUCCAGGUGACAUUGAGGGACAUUGGGUGACAUUUAUGGACCUGC
rnacentral:lncRNA from 1 species